UACGUAGGUGGCAAGCGUUGUCCGGAUUUACUGGGCGUAAAGAGCGCGCAGGCGGCUUGGCAAGUCGGGUGUGAAAUCCCGGGGCUCAACCCCGUGACUGCAUCCGAUACUGUCAGGCUAGAGGUAGGUAGGGGAGAUCGGAAUUCCUGGUGUAGCGGUGAAAUGCGCAGAUAUCAGGAGGAACACCGGUGGCGAAGGCGGAUCUCUGGGCCUUACCUGACGCUCAGGCGCGAAAGCUAGGGGAGCGAACAGG
rnacentral:rRNA from 1 species